GACUGCUCGCCUUACGUGGAGCGCCUUCGGCUACCGUUUCUCCUCUUCUCUCCCCACUCACGUCCUCAUUCAAGCGACCGUUCCUCUGCAGUAACACCGCCACCGCGCCAUUAUUGGCCAAUGAAGCUCUACCGGCGUCUGUUACACCUUCCCACACCUCUACAAAACUCGACCGUGCCCCCAUAGAGCCAGUCCCCAUCCGUCCCAAGCCCACUCCGAGCUCCCCAGCCGCACCUCCAUCGAACUCCCUCCUCUGUGGCUUGGUCCUCGCCGUUCACCGCUGACCGGAGCCGCUCCCGAUAGCUGUUGUGCUGUCGACACCGGAGCCGCUCGCCGCUAGAGCCGUUCACCGUCGACCGGAACUCCGAAGCCGACACUGCGUCCCAACGACCUUCCCCCGACACCCGACUACCUGCCCCAUUCGUCCUCGUUCACUGCACAAGAGAAAGGAGAGGUAGAAAAAGAAUAUUUUGCUGUCUAAUCCCUAUAGAUAGAUUAUUUUGCGUGAGAUUAUUUCUUAGUUCAAAAGAGUUAGUUAAUCACGAUCUAACUUCUGUGGCGAAUUAUAAUUUUUAGUUGUGAAUUUUGAGUCUGAAAUCAUGUUUAUACUGAACGAUUAAUUUCAUAUGUAUGUGAUGAUCUAUUUUAAUUAGUGUAUGCUGUCUUUCGCCUUUGUGUAUUUUAAUUUGAUUAUGAUUGUUGACAUUAAUUUAAAUAUAGUUUGUUAGAGUAAAAGAUUAAGGGAUAGGUAAACCAUAUAUUUGUAACAAUAAUACUAGAUGAAUAAUUCUACGGUUGUCUUUGCUCAGGAUGAAUUAUAUAUUUUAGUCACACCGUAUGUGUUCGUAUGUUCGAUUAUACACAAAUUGCUUAUUCACUAAGUCACGCUGGAGUCUCGAUUAAUAUUAAAAUAAUAUAGCGACUAUGUCCACUAUAAUCUAAAUAGUACAAUUAAAUUAGUAGUUUAAUUUAGUUCUGUUAAUAUUAAGGUUAUGUGACUUCUAAAUAAUGUUGUAACGUCUACUAUAAUUUUUCUUUUAGAAAGAAAUAACAAAAUAUUACCCACAUCCUUUCGGUAGAAAUACAAUAAUUAAUUAAUUAAUUAAUUUUCUAGAUUCUAUAAAGUUUGAAUUAGCGCCAUAUUUAUGUAUUUUAAAAUGAAUCCAUAUAGUAUAUACAUCCAUAGUCAAUUUGCCAUAUAGUUUCCUCUAGUGUAUUCUCGAGACUAAAUUAUUAGUAGUUUACCUCGUAGCAAAUGAGACGAUCGUCGAUAUGGAUGGACUUAUAUUAUAAUUACAAAUCAAGUUUUAUUUCUAGACGUCUUCCUUUUAUAUGUAUGAUUUGUAAAGUGUAUGUUUUAUUGUUUGUUGAAUGGUGCAUGUUUAUUUAUUGGUGUAUGUUUUCUCUUUGUAUGGCAACGUACGACGUUAUUAGAAGCUGAUUGUGUGGUAGAGGAUCCGAACUCGUUCGAGGACGAUCCGCAGGACUCGCUUGAGCAAGGCAAGUGGAUUCUCCCUCUGCAUAUUCUGUUUGUACCUAUUCAUUGCAUAUAAUAAUGUUUACCUUUUGAUAUAUUGCAUAAUUUGAUGGGAUAACCUAAUUAAGGAUUUCCUAGAUUUACUACCUGUAUUCCUUGUUUAACCUGGGAAAAAUUGUUAAGUUGUGCAAGAUUUAUGCUAUCGCCCAACUUAAUGAUUCCUAAUGUCACUCAUUAACUGGUUUUAAUGUUCCAAGGAUUUAAUUGGCAAUUAUGGCAUUAACCCGAUGGUUAAGAUAACAUUAUUACAAAUUUAAUUGGAACAUGGAGUGACCACCCAGGAUAACAGUGCAACCACGAGUGCUAUCAUGGCUCUGGCUUUGGUAAUUAGCUCUAUAUGCUUAGUGCCUAGCAACCUUACCUGAAAUAUGGGCAAGAGGGGGAGCGGUAGGUGCUGGCAACCCACGUUAACAUGGGGUCGUAUUCUUGGCUAAGGUACUUCACCCAGGGGGCCACCACCAUCGUCUUUAGAAACCUUAGCGGGUUGCUUCGUAUUAAGGUAUUUUGUGAAAGCCUCAUAAUGGAUCCCUUGCCAUUCACCUCGGCAGUGUUUAAGGGUCCGAUCAACCCGGGCUAGAUGGGAUACAUGGCUUGUGGGUAAAGUUGUACCAUCUCUGCAGAGUGUAAAACUGAUAUAUCAGCCGUGCUCCCGGUUAUGAGCGACCUGGACUCCUCACAUGAUAAUUGAACUUGAAGAUGGAAUUAAAUUGAGAUCCGAUGAUCUGCCAAUAAUUUGCUUAAGUGGUUUCACUUAAGUGUUUUUGAUAUAUUCAUACUCCUUUGUUUACAUGGGAUAUUUGGGAUUCACACUUAUUAGUAAGACAGGUGUUGUUAAUAAAAUGUUGACCAACUAAAAUGCUUACUGCUCAACCUUAGCCUCACCUUGUUAUACCUGCAUUAGUUUUUCCCCCACUUGCUGAGUCCCGACCAUAAGUGAGCUCACCCUUGCUUAAUUUUGAUCAGAGGGUGAUGCUGGAGACUUUGAUGGAGAUUUUAUCGACGACGAUGAUUUCUAAGUCUAACGAUGCGCCGGUCAUCUUCCUGUGGGAGAUUGCCCAGUUGUUUAUUUCCGCUUUACUUUGAUGUGAUACUUGUUAAAGAUACAAUGUUUCAGAUGAUGUAAUAAAGUAUUAUACUCUCUUUACGCCUUUAUUGCAUUGUCUUUUGAUAUAUUACACUUGUGACGUCAACAUAUGUGUGGAAAUGGAUCCUGGCACACAUAUGGUAUGCGCUCGGUUCUACCCCUGGAACCGGGUGUGACAGAAGUGGUAUCAGAGCUAUGCUGACCCUAGGUCGUUAGACUAGUUAGAAAUGGAAAGCCUAGUUAGUCUUUCAAAGCUUGAGUUACUUUCCUGCAUAAAAAAACUUAUUUUAUCUCAAAACUCAACUCCUUCAUAUUCAAUUCUUCUAGUCUGAUUUUCUCUCGUCUAUCGGAAGGUUGCUAUCAGAAGAACUGCUUACAAAAGUAUCGCCUAUGUUGCUCAAGAUCGGCCAACACCCUCUACCCCACCUUUGGAUGAAGAAGAAACGUCUUUCUCUGCCUUAUCCUCAUUCUUUUUGGAAGGCUUUGUUAUGGAACCCCUAAGUCUAUCACCAUACUCCUUCAGGUUGAUAGGAUAGUUUAUUGAAAUAAGCUAGAUGCGAUAGACGAUAAAACAGUGUUAUACUAUAAUAAUAACAACAAUGUGAUGGUGAUAUUUGAUAUGUUUGAGUUGGAUUUUUGUUUGAGUGCAAUGGUCUGAUGGCCAUAAGAGCAUUAAAAAAACAUAAACUUAAGAAAUUUCCCUCUAGAUUCUUUUCUACUCCCCACUUCUCUAAGGACUUCACCUCCUAACCAAUCAGAUGGUGAACGCUCGUCAAGGACCCAACAACAACCGGAACCAGCGUGGUCAACAAGCACCACCACCACCACCACCAAAUCCCAAUAUGGAGCAGUUCAUCGCCGCCCAGAUGUAGAUUCUGCAAGGACUCACUGCGGCUGUUCAGCAAUUACAACAGAACCAACAGAAUCAGCAACCCCAGCAGCAGCAGUAUGCACCCCCGGCCAGAGAUAAACACCGGGAUUUCAUGAGUCAUCACCCGCCGACAUUUUCUCAUGCGGUUGAUCCUCUGGAUGCCGAUGACUGGCUCAAGGUCAUUGGAAAGAAGCUGGACAUCACUCAGUGCAACAACUGGGAGAAGGUCUUGUACGCCUCGGGAAGACUCGAGGGAACUGCGUCCGAUUGGUGGGAUGCCUUCACAGCGGCACAUCCCAAUGCGGAUACUAUAACUUGGCAGGAGUUUCAGGAGAACUUCCGCGCUCAUCACAUCCCCUCUGGAAUCAUGAAGUUAAGGAAGAAGAGAUUCGUAAAGGACAAGAGUCUGAUGAGAAAAUCAAGGAAAUUAAAACUUUGAUUGGGAUGGGUAAAGCCCCAGAUUUCACGGAAGAUGAUCAAGGCACAGUAUGGUUUAAGAAAAGAAUCUGUGUACCAGAAAUUGAGCACUUGCGCCAACUUAUUUUGAGAGAAGCUCAUGAUUCAGCUUACUCUAUUCACCCGGGAAGUACAAAGAUGUACCAGGAUCUUAAGGAAAAGUAUUGGUGGUACGGUUUGAAAAGAGAUGUUGCUACUCAUGUUGCAUUAUGUGACGUGUGUCAGCGAGUUAAAGCCAAACACCAAAGACCAGCAGAAUUGCUACAACCUCUCAAGGUACCGGAAUGGAAAUGGGAAGAAAUCAGUAUGGAUUUCAUAGUUGGACUACCCCGUACUCGAGAUGGCUAUGAUUCAAUAUGGGUCAUAGUAGACAGGUUAACUAAAGUAGCACACUUUAUACCUGUGAAGACAACUUACUCGGGAGCCCAGUUAGCAGAGUUAUACAUGUCGAGGAUUGUUUGUCUGCAUGGAGUACCGAAGAAGAUCGUAUCGGAUUGAGGAACCCAAUUCACCUCGCGCUUUUGGAAAAGACUUCAUGAGUCCAUGGAUACCAAGCUAAAUUUUAGUUCAGCUUAUCAUCCGCAGACGGAUGGGCAAACAGAAAGGACAAACCAAGUAUUAGAAGAUAUGCUAAGAGCUUGCGCUCUAAAGCAUGGUAGAAGCUGGGAUAAAAGUUUGCCUUAUGCAGAAUUUUCGUAUAACAACAGUUAUCAAGCAAGUCUCAAAAUGGCACCAUUUGAAGCACUAUAUGGACGAAAGUGUAGAACACCGCUUUAUUGGAAUCAGACUGGAGAAAGUCAAGUAUUUGGACCAGAAAUACUCCAAGAGGCCGAAAAGCAAGUGCAGAUUAUCAGAGAAAAUUUGAAGACAGCACAGUCAAGACAGAAGAGCUAUGCUGAUAAUAGAAGAAGAGAAUUGAUGUUUGAAGUAGGAGACUUUGUCUACCUUAAAGUUUCAUCGAUGAGAGGAAUGAAAAGGUUUAAGGUUAAAGGAAAAUUAUCACCUCGCUAUAUUGGCCCAUUCAAGAUUUUGGAAAGAAAAGGUGAAGUAGCCUAUCAGUUAGAGCUACCCGAUAGAUUAUAAGAUGUGCAUGACGUAUUUCACGUAUCACAACUUAAGAAGUGCUUAAGGGUACCAGAAGAACAGUUACCUAUGGAGGAAUUGAAUGUCAAUGAGGAUUUGACCUGUUCGGAGUACCCGAUCAGAAUUUUGGAAACAUCUCGCAGAAUUACACGGAGUAAAGUCAUUAACAUGUGCAAAGUUCAGUGGAGUCAUCAUUCGGAAGAUGAAGCCACUUGGGAAAGAGAAGAUGAACUCAGAGCAGAAUUCCCCCAGUUAUUCUCGGAAGUUUCUUAAUCUCGAGGACGAGAUUCUUUUUAAGAGGGGUAGGUUUUGUAACACCUCAAAUCCAUCAAUUAAAAAAAAUGAUGAUUCAAUUUUAGUUGUUGAAUGUAUUAGAUAGGAAAAUGUUAUUCUCAAGAAUUAAAAAAAUGAUAAAUAAAUAAUUAACUUUUGAAUAUAUAUUGGUCACAAAUGUUUGAUGCAUUCAUUUUUUAGGAGCAUGGUUUUUUUGUUGUUGUUUUGUUUGUUAAUGAAUUGCAACAAAUUAUUUUAAUUUAUUCUCUUUUGUGAGGCCAAAUUUAUAUAAAUAAUAGAAAUUUGCCUAAAAAUUAUUUACUAUGAUUUUUAUUAUUAGAUUUAUAAUACUUUUGUAAUAUUUAAAGUAUAUUUAUUAAUGAAUAACUUAUUGAAAAAAAUAAAAGAAAAAAGAAUUUCGAAAUUAACAAAAAGAAAAAAAAAGAGAAAUGAAAAAAAUGAAAAACGGCCGCUCGGCCAACUAACCUGGGCGGACAGCUUCUUGCAGUCACGUUCCUCUCCCUUCUUUUUCUCUCUUACUUGUGGACCCCACACGUCAAGGCUAUUUUCUUCUCCAUCGUUGCUUCCAGAAUCCAGACCACACGAACGCGCCGCCGCUCGCAUGGACUCGUCAAGCACCACGCUGGCUCAUCCCUGCGUCUCCUCGACUGCUCGCCUUACGUGGAGCGCCUUCGGCUACCGUUUCUCCUCUUCUCUCCCCACUCACGUCCUCAUUCAAGCGACCGUUCCUCUGCAGUAACACCGCCACCGCGCCAUUAUUGGCCAAUGAAGCUCUACCGGCGUCUGUUACACCUUCCCACACCUCUACAAAACUCGACCGUGCCCCCAUAGAGCCAGUCCCCAUCCGUCCCAAGCCCACUCCGAGCUCCCCAGCCGCACCUCCAUCGAACUCCCUCCUCUGUGGCUUGGUCCUCGCCGUUCACCGCUGACCAGAGCCGCUCGCCGCUAGAGCCGUUCACCGUCGACCGGAACUCCGAAGCCGACACUGCGUCCCAACGACCUUCCCCCGACACCCGACUACCUGCCCCAUUCGUCCUCGUUCACUGCACAAGAGAAAGGAGAGGUAGAAAAAGAAUAUUUUGCUGUCUAAUCCCUAUAGAUAGAUUAUUUUGCGUGAGAUUAUUUCUUAGUUCAAAAGAGUUAGUUAAUCACGAUCUAACUUCUGUGGCGAAUUAUAAUUUUUAGUUGUGAAUUUUGAGUCUGAAAUCAUGUUUAUACUGAACGAUUAAUUUCAUAUGUAUGUGAUGAUCUAUUUUAAUUAGUGUAUGCUGUCUUUCGCCUUUGUGUAUUUUAAUUUGAUUAUGAUUGUUGACAUUAAUUUAAAUAUAGUUUGUUAGAGUAAAAGAUUAAGGGAUAGGUAAACCAUAUAUUUGUAACAAUAAUACUAGAUGAAUAAUUCUACGGUUGUCUUUGCUCAGGAUGAAUUAUAUAUUUUAGUCACACCGUAUGUGUUCGUAUGU
rnacentral:lncRNA from 1 species